AGGACGGGAACUGCGGGGCCCUCGCCCGCCCCUCUGCUUCCCGCCCGCUCUCCCGCGGCCGCCCCGGCGCGUCCCCCUGCCCUUGCGGAAGCCAUUAAAACAUGAAACUUAAAGAGAACUAUCAUCAUUGUCUUCAAAUUUAAGAUCUGAAAAAAAUAGAUGAGACACAUUUUUGAUAAAUUAUUUGGGGUAAAUGAAAAUCUAUAUUUGGCUUCAUCCACUGCCAUCAAAUGCCCAGCACAUGGAGUGCAAUUGUGAUUUUUAAGAUGCCACUGCACUUGGUGCUAGGGAUCUGAACUCUGGUCCUCAUGAAUGUAUUUGUGUUCCUAUCAGACUCUGGCAGAGGUUAAGAUGACCUCAAAGUUGGGAUUCAUCUGCCUCAGCCUCCAAAGUGAUGCAUGAAUUGAUGGCUUGCCUCUGAAACCCUAAGUGAGGAACGGUGGCCUGGCCAGGGAAGUAUCCACCAGGCCAUCCAGGGCACUGACAAUCAUGCGGACUGCCACCUGGCUGCAGAGGCUCUCUGGCCUCUCUCCAGUCCGGCAAGGUUCCCUCCCUCUCCACCCAAUCACAGUCAUUAUUUAAAGAAGCCACUUCCCGUGUUUACCAAAGGUGCAUUUGGGUUAUCUCUACUUGAAUGCCUGUUUUCACAUCUUCAAGCAAGAAGAAUUUUAUUGUUCCAGCAUGCUGGGGUUGCCCUGUUCAUGAAGGAGAGAGGACCCCGGCACAGCCUGUUUGGCGAGCUUUUAUACAGUUUUCCUCCCCCACCCACAGGUGGCCGAUGGUUGGUUCCCCCACCCCUUCUGGAGGGGAGGGGCGCCUAUGUGCCCUAUGACCUUCCUCUAGGGGAGGGGUCUGGUGGAAUUUUCCAAAGUUCCUAAGCUGACCUCUUCAGUAUAAACAGACCUAGAAUUGCUCUGUGUUGCAGUGACCCUGUACACACAGAUCUGGCUACCGACAGUCAUAUUAAACAUGGCACACAACAAUACAUAGUAUUUUCUCUUGUGUGUAAUUUUAUAAAACCACACUUGCUCCUUGCCCAGUGCUGUGGCCCCCACUAUGCUGUGAGAUCAACCACUGCCAACAGUCGUCUCGCCCAACCCCCAUGGCUAGCUUUGCCAAACUGCUCCAGUCUCACCAGUUCUGCCAAGUCACCAGCUCUACCACUUUCUCAUGGACUCUGGGAGCUGCAAUCCCUCUUCACUGGCCAACCGCGCCGAGGCUAGCUCUGCCAAACCUCUAACAACCACCCAGGCUGUGCCCUUCCUCCUGCCCACCUGAGUCACCACAGAUGGAAAACACCAGACAGCCUUAAUAUUUUAAAACUAGCCAGAUAACUCAACUGCUGGGCGCGGGAUCUGUUGCUCUAAAUGCAUCGGCUAUCUAUCUGGGAAUUCCGCUGAUGGCCAAGGCUGCCACUGGCUCUGGUUGCUCCCAGGCCAUAGUCCUAGUCCAUGCGCCCCUCUCCAAAGCCUUGCUGCAAAGCCUUUUCUCCAUUUCUUUCCCUCCUCUUCCUCCUGGGACCCAGAAAUCCCACCUUUUCCCCUUCAUCCAAUGAUUAGCUUCUGCUGUCUUUAUUGACAUAGUCAAAAAACAUAUGCCAUGCUUUUGUUGUUAUAUUUGGGAUGUAUGAAUGUUAGCUGAAUAUUGUUACUGGUGUAUGUAUCUAUUAUUCUAUAUUUUUUCUCACUCAGCUGUACUAAUUUAAGAUGUUUAUUCUCAAACAGGAUGCUGUGUCCUGCAGCAACCUCCUAGCUUGUAUUUGGUGUUCCUCCUGAUGGCAACAGGGGCCACGAGGAGUGACCAGCAUACAUGAUCAGUGUGUGCAAAUGCAGCCUGGAGAAUGCAUAACAAGGGAACUGCCGUGGUGUAUGCCUCAUGGCUGCCUGUCAUUAAGUCAUGCACGACUAGCUGACAGAACGAGUCCCGGACAGGUCAGGGGAGGGAGUAUUCCCAGAACCCAGAAAGGGGAGCAGGUGCCAGCUGCUAGUCUGACAGGAGCUCUGGCCUUCUUGGAAGAAUGCAGCAGCCCAGGACCAUCUGCCAGGAAGGGACAGCAUUCCCAGGCACUGGUGCUGCCCCUGCAGCCCCCUCGCCUCCCUCUCCCAGCCCCUCCUAGCACCUCCUUCCACUUGAUACCAAUUGGAAGGGAAUCUGUUUUUACAGUCCAUGUGAGUCGGCCUUCCAAGGCUCACAGUGGAAUGAGAAACCCCCUCUCGGAGCUGGGGCGAUUCUCAGUGAAUCCAAGCACCCGUGUAAACGUCAGACAUGGCCACAUGUACCUAUAACCUCUGGAGACAGAGACAGGCAGAUCCCAGGUCUUAGGCUCUGUGAGAGAAUCUGCUCCCAAUAACCAACAGGCAGGUAGUCUCAGCAUGAAGUCCGAGCUGUAGACGAGGCAGUGGACACACAGCUUGACAGUUUCCAUACAGACAGCAUCUGAAAUGGGGGUUCUUGGGGUUUCUGUCAGGAACCAAAUAACCGCUUCUAAUCAGCACCUUGGCAGUGUACAAACAGCACUUCAGAACCAAGCGAAAGCUGCCAAACGAUUCGUUCUCUUACGCAGUUCAUGCUUUCUCUGGUACUAUUUACUCAGCAAACAAAGAUAACACAGUGACAUUUGCUUUGCACUCUUCUGAAUUCAUUAUCUUCUUGAUCCAACUGAAUCUCAAUGAUACCAUUGAAUUAAAAGUCUGGUUUGCUUUUGGCAUGUCAAAUAGCCUAUGAAAUGAUCUGAAACAAGUAAAUUUGUUUUCACUUGCUGAAGAUAUUGUAACAGAAUACCUCACAUGGAAAUACUUUUUUUUUUUUUUUUUUUUUUAAAAAGUAUGUUCUCCCAUGGUUUUGGAGACCAGAAGUUCAGGAUCAAGAGGAAGGUUGGCCUUUCCCUCUGAAGGUACAGAAGAUGAUGAGCUCCUUUGGCCUGAGGUAACACCCCUGGCUUGGAGCAGCAUGACUCCAAUCUGUACACAGCUCUCUGUAUGCAUAUUGUCUUGUCUUUUAUAGGAACUCCAGUCAGUCAUAGUGAAUUAUGGUCUGUGAUGGCAAAUUCAUGGACCAGCCUGACUCCAUUUAAGAUUAAAAACCAUCUUGUUAUAAGUUCAUUUCUGUUUUCUGUAGAAUUUGGAUUUGAAUAGGUCUUGACCCAUAUUCUGGAAUUUGACAUGUUCCACACCUUAUACCCUGACCUCCACCCUGAUAAGAUGUUCUGUCAAAUAACUUUGAAAUGUUCUGUCAAGGUCCUAUGUAACCCCAAAACCUUGAAAAACUCCCUAGCAUUGCAGUUUGGGGGACUAUAUCAGCCCCACUUUUUCCUAUGCUCAAUGUUACUUUUCUCAAAUCCCUCUUUAGGGAGAUAGGCCUGUCUGACAGAAAAUAAAACUGUGUUUAUCUUGACCGAAG
ensembl:lincRNA